rnacentral:tRNA from 1 species
GCCAUCUUAGCUCAGUUGGUAGAGCAACAUAUUCGUAAUAUGUGGGUCCCCAGUUCGAUUCUGGGAGAUGGCU